AGACAAACAAAGAUUUGGAGUCCUGGAUGGAUUGUCUGCAAACUCCUGCCCCACACCCUUGGCCCAAGGGAAGAGGGGGAUCACCAUAGCUCUAUCAUCCAGCUGGCAUCACAGAGAAAUAGGAGUUGCUGGGAUUCCUGGAAAAAUGACAUGUGAGAAGAGGCUCUUCAGGGCCAGUAAGGUUUGAUGGCAUCAGUGGGACCAAAGGAGAUUUCCAAGAACUUCAGGGACAAUAAGAAACACAGGUGUGGCACCCCACAAAUCCUUUGAGUUCAAGGUCUUUUUCAUCAUUUCUAAGGACUAUGUUAUGGAAAUCAGAGGUGGAACUAAAGGGGAUCUUGAACCUCAGCUGGUCUAAGCACCCUCAUCUGAGGUCACAUGGGCAGAAAAUGGACAGUACCUGGCAUGA
rnacentral:lncRNA from 12 species